AUUCUGCUGUGAUGAUUUACGAAUAAAUUCACAUGUCAGACUUCAGAGAUUUGAAAAAAUCAAUGAGAAUGAGAAUUCUUUAUUCUGAGCAGAAU
rfam:Lupinus angustifolius cultivar Tanjil chromosome LG05, whole genome shotgun sequence.